rnacentral:rRNA from 1 species
UACGUAGGGGGCAAGCGUUGUCCGGAAUUAUUGGGCGUAAAGAGCGCGUAGGCGGUCCGGUAAGUCGGCUGUGAAAGUCAAGGGCUCAACCCUUGAAAGCCGGCCGAUACUGUCGGACUAGAGUCCGGAAGAGGCGAGUGGAAUUCCCGGUGUAGCGGUGAAAUGCGCAGAUAUCUGGAGGAACACCGGUGGCGAAGGCGGCAUUCUGGACUGCAACUGACACUGAAAGACGAAAGCCAGGGGAGCAAACGGG